rnacentral:rRNA from 1 species
GCAGCCUGAUGCAGCAACGCCGCGUGAGGGAUGACGGCCUUCGGGUUGUAAACCUCUUUUAGCAGGGAAGAAGCGAAAGUGACGGUACCUGCAGAAAAAGCGCCGGCUAACUACGUGCCAGCAGCCGCGGUAAUACGUAGGGCGCAAGCGUUAUCCGGAAUUAUUGGGCGUAAAGAGCUCGUAGGCGGUUUGUCGCGUCUGCUGUGAAAUCCCGAGGCUCAACCUCGGGUCUGCAGUGGGUACGGGCAGACUAGAGUGCGGUAGGGGAGAUUGGAAUUCCUGGUGUAGCGGUGGAAUGCGCAGAUAUCAGGAGGAACACCGAUGGCGAAGGCAGAUCUCUGGGCCGUAACUGACGCUGAGGAGCGAAAGGGUGGGGAGCAAACAGGCUUAGAUACCCUGGUAGUCCACCCCGUAAACGUUGGGAACUAGUUGUGGGGUCCAUUCCACGGAUUCCGUGACGCAGCUAACGCAUUAAGUUCCCCGCCUGGGGAGUACGGCCGCAAGGCUAAAACUCAAAGGAAUUGACGGGGACCCGCACAAGCGGCGGAGCAUGCGGAUUAAUUCGAUGCAACGCGAAGAACCUUACCAAGGCUUGACAUACACGAGAACGCUGCAGAAAUGUAGAACUCUUUGGACACUC